rnacentral:rRNA from 1 species
GAAUAUUGGACACUCGGGGCAACCCUGAUCCAGCCAUGCCGCGUGUGUGAGGAAGGCUCUUUUGUUGUUAAGCCCUUUACGCGAGGGGGAGGCUACUUCCGUUAUUACCUAACGAUAGUGGACGUUGCUCGCAAACUCAUCACCGGAUAACUCACUUCCACCCGCCGCGGUAAUACAGAGGGUGCAAGCGUUAAUCGGAUUUACUGGGCGUAAAGCGCGCGUAGGUGGCCAAUUAAGUCAAAUGUGAAAUCCCCGAGCUUAACUUGGGAAUUGCAUUCGAUACUGGUUGGCUAGAGUAUGGGAGAGGAUGGUAGAAUUCCAGGUGUAGCGGUGAAAUGCGUAGAGAUCUGGAGGAAUACCGAUGGCGAAGGCAGCCAUCUGGCCUAAUACUGACACUGAGGUGCGAAAACAUGGGGAGCAAAC